AUAUAGAAUAUUUUGUAUAUCUUGUCUAUUAUGUAAACGAAUAUGCUAGCGCGCAAACAUGUUUGGCCUCUCCAUUUUCCAAGACUGUUAUUCUGAGCCAAUCAGAAUUUAGCAUCUAUGGCCCCACCCCUAUCUCCGCCUAUGCUAAUAAGCAUGGUUGUGUGAGAAGAGCGAUAUAGAUUUUAACAAGCAGUUUAUUAACUACCCAACCUAAUUCUACAAAACGACAGAGUAACAAUAACCAACAUUUACCUAGUUAACUCCCACUAGAGUUACUUUCAACUCCCUGGCAGUUCCAGACAAAAUUCUGUGCUGAGGCCUUAGCGACGCCCACGUUUUGCUAAUUAAAAACGGCGGGCACGCGUUCCCUUAUUCAAAAUAAUCCAUAUUCAUCAAACAUUAAAAACGAAGUCCUUGUUCACCCUGCAGCCUUGUGUCUGCUAUCCAGAUGGACUCAUUACAACGAUUCCUCCACAGCUGUAAGGAGCUUGCUCUACUUUUGUGUACAACAAAGACAAUUGAGCAUAAACAGAAAUGGUAACCUUUUGCUUUUUUUGUGUCAGGCCAGGUGUGUGCAGAUGACAGGAAGGGGCUGAUGGAGAAUUGCCAUAUGACCAAUCAAUACUGAGAUGACAGUAGCAGGAUGGCAUGUGUGUUGCUGUCAGGUUCUCCUGGGGAGAGUUCUAGUGAUGUCGAGUGUUGUGUGUCUGCAUCUGCAGCGUGUGUGUAAUGAGAGGGAUAUCCUCUUGGAGACUCCUGUCUGGCAAGAGCUGGAAACAGAUCAUCACCUUGUGGACCUGAUACCAACAGAGAGAGAGUGAAAGACAAGGAAAGAGAGAUGGGAAGGAGGAGAAUGGGAUUAGGGAAGCUACUGUGAACUUUUAUUUAUUUAUUUAUUUAUUUUUCUUGGUAGCUGUGGUCACAAAACUUUACCAUAAAAAUACAGUGACAGUUUCAGACAUUAUGGGGCUUAACAGGUAAUUUUAGUGACUGUAUAAUGCUUAACAGGUUUAUGCCGUGGGUUUUUUAUUUUCUUCUCCCAUUAACAUUACUGAC
ensembl:lncRNA